AUGCCCAGAGAUCUUAGUUAGUGGAUAAUGAAGCACUAUGAACCUGAGAUGUCGCAGAUUGUUAUACCAGAUAGGGGGAAGAUCCCAGUAGAUGCAGCUAGUGUCCAUAGGAUAUGGGGGCUGCCUAACAGGGGGAGAAAGGUGUGCUACAAGAUUCGGCCUGAAAUCGCAAAGGAGUUCUACAGGAUCUACAACAUCCAAAGCAAGAAUGAGCCAACUCUCACUACAUGGUGUAAAAUGAUCCAAGAAAUGGUUGGAGCCCAUGGUGAUGACUUCCUACGUGCUUGGUUAGUUGUUGCAUUUUCUUGCUUCCUAGCACCAUCAACCAGUCUCAGCAUUUCAUCAAAGAGCUUCCUGAUUGUGAUGGAUGUCAAUGGUAUUCAAGACACAAACAUUUGUCAGUUCCUGGUCGACCAAUUGUGUGGCACCCCGGCUCAGAGCAACCGGUUUACCUUGCAUUGUCAGCCCAGAGAUCAAGUCUUCUGGCAAUACACAACACCAUGGUACAGAAACAACCGCUUUAUUGAUGCUAGCGGAUUACAUAGGUCUAAUAUUACAUCGAGAUUCGAGGCCAAGCGGCACACACGGUGCUGUUGGACAGUAUGUACAUUAUUUAAUGAACAUGGCAGGGCCUCGAUUGCACGAGCUACGCAGCAGCGGAAAAAUGACGUAGAGUUAUUCCAUAGCACAGGGACACCGAUGUGA
rnacentral:rRNA from 1 species